AAAGAUCCCUCGUGUGACGUCAUCUUCUGAACCUCCCCAGGGCCGGAAGGCAGCAAGGAUAGGAUAGCUCUGACGGGUGCGCGAGGGGUCCUUUUU
rnacentral:SRP_RNA from 1 species